rnacentral:misc_RNA from 1 species
UCCCCGUUACCGGGGCAGUCUAGCUAGAGAAAUCCAACUAACUAUAGGGGUUGCGCUCGUUGAUGGACUUAACCAAACAUCUCACGACACGAGCUGACGACGGCCAUGCAUCACCUGUCACUGCGGCCCGAAGGCACUCUCUCCUUUCGGAGAAAUUGGCAGGAUGUCAAGCCUGGGUAAGGUUCUUCGCUUACCAUCGAAUUAAACAACACGCUCCACCGCUUGUGCGGGUCCCCGUCAAUUCCUUUAUGUUUUAGUCUUGCGACCGUACUCCACAGGCGGGAUGCUUAACGCGUUAGCUUCGCUACGACACGGGUCGAUACGCAUCACAGCUAGCAUCCAUCGUUUACGGCGUGGACUAC